ensembl:lncRNA
AUGUAUUUAUUGUUAAAUAGAACUAAGGGCAUCUACUCCAAAUAUUAUAAAAUAAUGAAUAAUAGGUCCUUGAUGAUUAGAUUAAUGACCAUCACAUGCAUAUUUUAUUUAAGGUUCAUCAAGAAAAAGGCACAGUAUUUUCGGGUUGCUUCUUUAUCAGCAGGAUCAGACCAUUUUCAGAUUCUGUCAAAGUGGUGCCACAGCCGCGGUGUGUUUUUCAUCACUGCAAAUCAAAAUCAGACAUUUUUCAGUAAGUUCUUGCACUCACUUUUGCAGCUCAUAAAUAUUGUGAUCUUCAACUGAUAAUUAUGAAUAAGUGUUAGAAGAAUAAUGGAAAACAGCACUAAGUGAGUUUCUGUAGAUCCAAACCAUGUGAGUGCUUCCUUCGGCCACCCACCUCAAGGUCAGCAUUCGCUGGGAAUUACUGUACAUCAACAGAACACCCCCUUUUUUAUAAACCUAGAUAUAGACGGUUCAUGUGAUACUUUGAUACUUCGAUACUCCUGAUUUUUUUCUCCCCCUCGGAGAUCAAAGACCCUCCAUUGAGGAUCAAGCCAUAUGGGGAGAACCUGUAAAAUAUUAUCUGGCAUGCAAUAUCAUACCACAGCGACGGGAGGAAGGCAGGGUGUGCCAGUGAAGAAAGCAUGCCAGCACAUGACUAUGGGAGUUUACAUCAGAACCCAAAUCGUCAAUAUAAACCAUGUGUUCCACUCUCAAGGAACUCCUUGUCUUGAACACAACAUCUUAAUGAGCUCCAUGCUCGGCGGAUGGUGGUUUUCCACAUGACUGAACGGCCCACAGACACACUAAGUCUCAUCUAUUUAGCGGUCACGCCGUUGACUUCCAGGCCACGUUUUAAUGGAAGUCACGUGCUGAUAGGUGACAGUCCGCAGAUACUGCUGCCAGGCCCCACCGGUGACUGCAGCAUUGUUUAUCUGAGUUUAUCUGGCCACAGGUGUGUCUUAUCAGUUACUUAAACUGUAUAAUAGCUAAGAUAUUCAGCUGAAUUAAGCCUAAUUUUGCCCACCGGUUGGAGAAAUUCUUGCACACAGACUUCUACAAAAUUGACGGGAUUAUUUACGGGAUUUUCAUUAAAAUAAAACCACAAAGUAUCUUGAAUGAAGCCA